rnacentral:lncRNA from 1 species
AUGCUUAUUCAGUAUUCCCUAGACACACAUAUUUCUCAGUAGAGACAAGAGCAUAUACUGUAGCCAUGGAAAAUCUGGAGAACUGGAGUGCUUGAAAAUACCAUUUAUACUACAUCAAACUUGAGCCCAAUGUAAAUCUUUCCCAUAUGUGAUGACUGCUUGCUGCCCAGCUUCCAAUUCUAAGAAACACUGUAAAUAUCCCAAAUUCUCCUUUUUAACUUUUACCAAGAGUCUGCAGCUGUCUUUAUUCUUGGAGUGAAAAGAACAGUUCCCUAAUAAAAGAAGGAGUGAUAUUUCAUUCUGGGCAGAGCGAAAAGAUAAAAUCUUGCAUUUCAGGUAUUUUCAUAUUUUGGAAUAGGUCUAAAUGUCAAUAAAAAAUAAAUUGUCUUUAAAAUUGUAGAUAUAGUAAAACUAAAGACAGCCAAAACAUAAUCAAUCUUAAAUUCUGAAUUUAUUCUAAAAUUCUCAAUUUUCUGGCCCAGGAUAGAGUUAUGGAGACCAUUUUCAAUGCCCCAAAUCAAGACAUACAGUGUGAAAAAAGAAUGAUUUAUGCUGAUACAUGAGGAGAAAGAGGUGGUCUUACAGAUUAAUAUGGUUAGUAAAUUGUCAAAUUUCCCAAGGCAUUUACAUGACUUAAAGCAGUACUUCUCAAAGUGUGGUCCACAGACCCUCUGUAUCAUAAUCACCUGCAGUUUUUGUUGAAAUGCAUAUUUGGGGGCCCUAUACCAGACUAACUAAAUCAGAUGCUCUGGGAAGGGGCCCGGGUUUAUUGGAGAGGAUAACAGAAAAGGAUAGGUAAUUCAGGGGAUUGGAAGACAGGCCAGAAAUUCAGGCAAUGAGUAAUAGAACAUUCCUUUUUAGAUCUCAAAGCAAGAAGAUGUAAGAAUCCGAUGGUCUUAGAAGAAAAAGUACCAUUCUGAUGGUUGACUGAAAUUUCUCAAGGGAAUUCUGAUGUAUCCCUAACAUUGCUUCCUAGUGAGGGGGCAAUCAUAACCUCCAGCAGCUGUUUCUAUAGGGAAAAUACUGGAAUAGUUGAAACCAAUUUCCCCAUUUCCCAUAGGCCUUCUGGUAGUCUAUCAUGAAUAUCAGAAGUCUAGAAUAGGCAUCACCUUCCAGAAUACCUGGCUUUCUCUGAUUGCCCAUACCUAGAGCUCAUUUUUGACUAAUAUAAUUUGGCUUUGACUGGUAAUUCAGCAUUAACACCAUGAUCCUUAGGAUCAGAUUUUGGGAUCCCCUAUUGUAAGUUGAGUAUCUACAUUUUUGCU